rnacentral:rRNA from 1 species
AGAGUUUGAUCAUGGCUCAGAACGUACGCUGGCGGCACGCCUAACACAUGCAAGUCGAACGAAGUAGCAAUACUUAGUGGCAGACGGGUGAGUAACAUGUAGGUAUCUGCCCUUUGGCCUGGAAUAACACGAGGAAACUUGUGCUAAUACCGGAUAAGUCUUUACGGAGAAAGCUUUAUGCACCAUUGGAUGAGCCUGCACUUGAUUAGUUUGUUGGUGGGGUAAUGGCCUACCAAGACUGUGAUCAAUAGCUGAUUUGAGAGGAUGAUCAGCCACAUUGGGACUGAGACACGGCCCAAACUCCUACGGGAGGCAGCAGUGGGGAAUCUUGCACAAUGGAGGAAACUCUGAUGCAGCGAUGCCGCGUGAGUGAAGAAGGCCCUUGGGUUGUAAAGCUCUUUCGUCGGGGAAGAAAAUGACUGUACCCGAAUAAGAAGGUCCGGCUAACUUCGUGCCAGCAGCCGCGGUAAUACGAAGGGACCUAGCGUAGUUCGGAAUUACUGGGCUUAAAGAGUUCGUAGGUGGUUGAAAAAGUUAGUGGUGAAAUCCCAGAGCUUAACUCUGGAACUGCCAUUAAAACUUUUCAGCUAGAGUAUGAUAGAGGAAAGCAGAAUUUCUAGUGUAGAGGUGAAAUUCGUAGAUAUUAGAAAGAAUACCAAUUGCGAAGGCAGCUUUCUGGAUCAUUACUGACACUGAGGAACGAAAGCAUGGGUAGCGAAGAGGAUUAGAUACCCUCGUAGUCCAUGCCGUAAACGAUGUGUGUUAGACGUUGGAAAUUUAUUUUCAGUGUCGCAGCGAAAGCGAUAAACACACCGCCUGGGGAGUACGACCGCAAGGUUAAAACUCAAAUGAAUUGACGGGGACCCGCACAAGUAGUGGAGCAUGUGGUUUAAUUCGAAGAUACGCGCAGAACCUUACCAACACUUGACAUGUUCGUCGCGACUCUAAGAGAUUAGAGUUUUCGGUUCGGCCGGACGAAACACAGGUGCUGCAUGGCUGUCGUCAGCUCGUGUCGUGAGAUGUUGGGUUAAGUCCCGCAACGAGCGCAACCCUCACUUUUAGUUGCCAUCAUUAAGUUGGGCACUCUGAAAGAACUGCCAGUGAUAAGCUGGAGGAAGGUGGGGAUGACGUCAAGUCCUCAUGGCCCUUACGUGUUGGGCUACACACGUGCUACAAUGGUAUCUACAACAGGAAGCAAGACUGCGAAGUUAAGCAAAUCCCUAAAAGAUACCUCAGUUCGGAUUGCACUCUGCAACUCGAGUGCAUGAAGCUGGAAUUACUAGUAAUCGUGGAUCAGCGUGCCACGGUGAAUGCGUUCCCGGGUCUUGUACACACCGCCCGUCACACCAUGGGAGUUGGUUCUACCUUAAGGCAAGGUUUUAAACCCUUGACCACGGUAUAGUCAGCGACUGGGGUGAAGUCGUAACAAGGUA